UCAUGACACAAGUCAGAGUAUUUCAAAAUAAAAGCUUGGUAAAUGGAAUUAUUUCUUGUGAGAUUUUGUAGUUUUUCUUCUUGUAACUAAUACAGCUGGAUAUAACUGCACUAAUAUACUCAUAUUUAGAAGAUUAUGCAGCCACUUCUGUGGAAUCAUGUUCCCAACGAUUGCUGUUGGUGUUUUAGUCUAGCUUAGGCAUGCAUUGCCACACACUGCCAGUUCACUACUGGCUCACUGUUACCAUUGUUACCUAAUGAAAGGGGGGUAUACAUUUACACUACAGACCCAUAUCUUUAACAUCAUGCAGUCAUUUUUGUGAAAUCACGUUCCCAGCAAUUGUUGCCGAUGUUUUAGUGUAGCCCAGCCAUUACCAAAUAAAAGGGGUAUGCGUUUAACAUACAGACCCAAGAUUCUGCCAAAUACAAAUAAAAUGUCCAGAAUAAAGUUAAAAUCAAAUUACAUUUAUUUUUGUAGCAUUUCACAAGAACUUUGUCACAAUACGCUUUGCAUCAUAGGGCGAUGGUGGCAAGGAAAAACUCCCAAGGUGGGGAAGGAAUAAACCCUAGGAGGAACCAGAGUUAAGAGGGGGAGCCCAUCCUCCUGUGGCUGGCAUCGUGUUUGUGAGUUAAUAAUAAACAACACGUCAUAUCAAACCGUCAACAAUCAAUUCAGAGUUAUUUUGGUUGCUAGAAUGGUGCGUGAGGAAGGGGCACAGGACUGGUUGAGUGCAGGUGCAAGAGGUGUCGGUCCAGGGAGCAGUGGGAAGUAAGUAGGGGCGCAGCUAGGUCUUUAAAUGUUUGGGGUAACAGAUCAAGAUAUUUUCCCCUAAUGUUUCCCCCGCACAACCUCAGCACAUAGGAUAGCCUGUGUAAAACAUUUAGCCAAAAAAAUGAAACGUUUCCCACAUGUAUGAGAAAUUCAACUGAAUGUUUAUCUAAAUGUGUGACACAUCUAGCUAAAUAUGUAACAAAAUGUUUAAAACAUUUAGUGAAAUGUAUGAUAUAUGCACUGUACGUUCAAACAUGUCCUUGUGGAUUUGCAGUAGUUUUGCGGUUGGUUUUAGGCUAUAUGAAUUUCCGUAUCGGUUUCUGUGAUGCGUUUUUUUUUUACUUGUACUUGUCUGGCUGAGCAGUAGGCCUAAGGGUUUGUAAUUGGGGGAGGUGGUGGUGUGUGUGCAGUUCGGCACUUAAUGUUGCGGCGUGUGUAUUACCUAUCCCAUGGUGUAAAUAGACCGGUUUUGUGUGCGUGUUACCUAGCCUAAUUACCUGAAAUUACCUAUGACGGUAUGUAUUUUACUCCGCUGUUAAUGUGAAUUGAUAUAUCACGUUUUCCAACUAUUUAGCCUAUUGUGAGGACGGGUGGGGUGAGAAAACCCUCCCCCCUGAUUUAUGCUGCCCUGUCUGUGUUGCCAAGUUCAUUGUGCUUUUAAUCCUUGCCCAUGUAAUACAACAUAUUAAUGCAGUGUCAUAUUAAACAUUACGAUCUGCUUGGAAAUCAUCAUUCCUGGUUCACAUUGUUGCCACUUAAGUACCAUAGGUGCACAAAGCUUAUAUUUUACUAACAUUGGACGUUUGCUUUUAUUAGGAAAGUUGCAGAUGCAAUAAUGCUUUGGAUUCUUUAGGUGCCCCAGUCUCCCCAUUCGCGCUGAGAAAUGUUUAGUUACCAUUAUUUCCUGUCUUCCGUUUCACUUCUACUUUCGUAACAACUGACUGCUUUUUUACACACACCCCACCAUCCUGCACAUACCCACCACACACCCCGUUUCCUACAAGUUUUGUAGAAAAUGUUUGUGUCUUAAGAGGAUGUUGAUUGCAUUUUUCUUAUUAUGCUUAUUUUCAUAUAACAUGGCAAAAUACGAUUUGGUAACUAGCAGUGUAUGGGAGGACAGGUAUUUUUCCUGUUUUUAUGGAGCAGAGAAAGUAUAAGUGAUGGUUUGCUUGUGCUAUUUUAGGAUGUACACAAGGUAUGCCGGUUGUUUAUUCUCCAUGCGCAUGAAUAAAGAACUUCUGAUUUUACCAGUA